AACGGGAUUGGCCCUAGUAACGGCGAGUGAAGCGGCAAGAGCUCAAAUUUGAAAGCUGGCCCCCUCGGGGCCCGCAUUGUAAUUUGCAGAGGAUGCUUCGGGCGUGGCCCCUGUCUAAGUGCCCUGGAACGGGCCGUCAGAGAGGGUGAGAAUCCCGUAUGGGAUGGGGUGCCCACGCCCGUGUGAAGCUCCUUCGACGAGUCGAGUUGUUUGGGAAUGCAGCUCUAAAUGGGUGGUAAAUUUCAUCUAAAGCUAAAUAUUGGCCGGAGACCGAUAGCGCACAAGUAGAGUGAUCGAAAGAUGAAAAGCACUUUGAAAAGAGAGUUAAAAAGCACGUGAAAUUGUUGAAAGGGAAGCGCUUGCGACCAGACUCGCCCCAGGGGUUCAGCCGGCUUUCGGGCCGGUGUACUUCCCCCGGGGCGGGCCAGCGUCGGUUUUGGCGGCCGGUCAAAGGCCCCUGGAAUGUAACGCCUCUCGGGGCGUCUUAUAGCCAGGGGUGCCAUGCGGCCCGCCGGGACCGAGGAACGCGCUUCGGCUCGGACGCUGGCAUAAUGGUCGUAAGCGACCCGUCUUGAAAGGGGAAACCAAGGGA
rnacentral:rRNA from 1 species